UACGAAGGGGGCGAGCGUUGUUCGGAAUUACUGGGCGUAAAGGGCGCGUAGGCGGCCUACUAAGUCAGACGUGAAAUCCCCCGGCUUAACCUGGGAACUGCGUCUGAUACUGGAAGGCUUGAGUUCGGGAGAGGGAUGUGGAAUUCCAGGUGUAGCGGUGAAAUGCGUAGAUAUCUGGAGGAACACCGGUGGCGAAGGCGGCGAUCC
rnacentral:rRNA from 1 species